UUAAUAAAAUUAUUAUUUGUAUUUAAAAAAAAUAUUUUUUAUUUUAUUAUUGUUAAAGAAAAAAUUAUAAUUAUUAUAGAUUAUUAGUAUAGUGGUAUAAAUUAGAAAUAUAAUGAAAAUUUAAAUUUUUAAAAGAAUAAUUAGUUUUUUGUACCUUGUGUAUCAGGGCUUAUUAAAUUUAAACUAAAAAUUUAGUUUUCUCGAUUUUGAAAGAGUUAAUGAAUUAUAAAUUUUAUUGUAAAAUAAAUAUUUAGAAUAAUUUUUUUGUAGUGAAAUGUUAGUCGUUUUCAAAUAUAUCUAGUUUUUGAAGAAAAAAAUUUAAUUUUAUUUAUUAAAUAUUAUGUAUUCAUUUUAAAGUAUAUUUUUUUAAUAUUUAAAUAAUUUAGGGGAUAAGCUUUAAAUUAUAAAUCUAUAAUUUAAAUUUAUAAUAAAAAAUUGUAGGGUUAGAAAUUUUCAUCAAUAUAGUUUGUUAUAAUUAAUUUUUGUUUUUAUAAGAUUUUUAUUUAUUUUAGGUUUUUUAUUCAAAUAAAUUAUUUAAUUUUUAAUUAAUUGUGAUAAUGAUAAGAUUAGUAUAAAUUUAUUAAAAUUUAAAUUAUUAGAUUUUAGGUUAUAUAAAGGAAUUCGGCAAAAUAUUUCUCGCCUGUUUAUUAAAAACAUGUCUUUUUGAUAAUAAUUUAAAGUCUAACCUGCCCAUUGAAUUUUAAAAGGCCGCGGUAUUUUGACCGUGCGAAGGUAGCAUAAUAAUUAGUUUUUUAAUUGAAAGCUGGAAUGAAGGGUUGAACGAGGAAAUAACUGUCUCUAUAUAAAUAAAUUAGAAUUUUAUCUUUAAGUUAAAAAGCUUAAAUUUUUUUAAAAGACGAGAAGACCCUAUAGAGUUUUAUAUAUUAAAUUUUUUUAGGCUAUUAGAAUUUUAUAUGUUGAUUAAUUUAAUUUAUUUUAUUGGGGUGAUAGAAAAAUUUAUUAAACUUUUUUUUUAAUAAAACAUUUAUUUAUGAAUUUUUGAUCCAUUUUUAUGAUUAUAAGAUAAAAUUACCUUAGGGAUAACAGCGUAAUUUCUUUAAAGAGUUCUAAUCGAAAAAGAAGUUUGCGACCUCGAUGUUGGAUUAAAAUUAAGUUCUGGUGUAGGAGCUAGAAUUUUAGGUCUGUUCGACCUUUAAAAUUUUACAUGAUCUGAGUUUAGACCGGCGUGAGCCAGGUUGGUUUCUAUCUUUAAAUUAAGAUAAUGUUUUAGUACGAAAGGACCAGAUAUUAAUAAAAUUUAUUUAAUAAGAUUAAAAUUAAU
rnacentral:rRNA from 1 species